GGCACGGGGCGAGGGACGCGGCUGCGUCCCCGCUUGCUGCCCCGCUGCCCGCCGCGAGCAGGGGGCGGCACUGGUCGCUGGUGCGCAGAGUCUCCCCCGCCCUGGGGGGAGGGGGACGCGUCCCUGCCUUCACUAGCGGCGGGGGCGGAUGGUGUGAGGGAGCCGGGACCGGGGUCACCGCCGCGGGGGGCUGCAGGAGGACGCUCCGCCAGCGACCCGGGCAGCGUGUGCGGUCAGGGCGCCGCGGCAUAGCCCCGCCACCCCCCGGUCGCUUUCCUGGAAAGCGGAGCGGGAGGGGUAGCGGGGUCUCGCUGUGAAGAUGGCGACCCCCGGGAUGAACUGGCAGCAGCAGCAUUACUACGGCGGCGGCGGCUCCUCCGCCAGCGCUGGGAAAUUCGCCGCGUCCAGUCCCCAGCCGGGGCUCAGCGUGGAAUACAGCCAGGAUCUGCACCUCAAAAUGAGCAAGAAAAUAGCCCAGCUCACCAAGGUAAUAUAUGCUUUAAACACUAAGAAUGAUGAACAUGAAGCUGCCAUUCAAGCCCUCAAGGAUGCUCAUGAAGAAGAAAUCCAACAAAUUCUUGCAGAAACAAGAGAGAAGCUCUUACAGUAUAAGAGUAAAGUUGCUGAAGAAAUGGAUCUUAAGAGAAAGAUCCAGGUUUUGGAAGAGUCAUUGGAAGAUCAUAAAAAGAUGAAACAUCAAGCCUUGACAGAAUUUGAAGCUUACAAGGACAGAGUUGAAGAUAUGCAGCUUUGUGCAGAAGCCCAGCAUGUCCAGCGAGUAGUAACUAUGUCAAGAGAAGUAGAAGAGAUUAGAAAGAAGUUUGAGGAGAGGCUACGAAGCUUUGUACAGUUGCAAGUACAGUUUGAGAAAGACAAACGCUCAGCUCUGGAAGACUUGAGAGCAGCACACAGAUUGGAGAUUCAAGAACUUCUGAAAACUCAGCAGAAUCAGAAUGCUACUUUAAGUAAGGGGCAAGAGAAGCUAGAGGAGUUGCACAGGUUGGAACUGGAAGAUUUAAACAGCAAAGUUGAAGAGCUAAGACUGGAGAGGAAAAAACUCAUUGAGGAGUAUGAAGGCAAACUCAGCAAAGCUCAAUCCUUUUAUGAACAUGAACUUGAUGCUUUGAAAAGAUCUCAGCUCUUUACAGCUGAAAGCCUGCAUGCCUGCAAAGAGAAAGAAGUGGAGCUAAGAAGAGAGUUUCAAAGCCAAGAAGCUGUUUUGCGGAAGAACCUUGGGAAACUGAAGACUGAAUUGCAGAUGGUACAGGAUGAAGUGGGUAGUCUGCGAGAAAAAUGCCAAAAACUUCAGGUAGCUCUCAGUACAGCAGAAAACACUGUUCAGGUGCUUCAAAAACAGCUAGAUGAUGUCAAGGAGGAGGAGAUAUCAUUGUUAAGCAAACACAAGGAGGUGGAAAGUGAGCUAGCAGCUGCUAGGGAACGCUUACAGCAGCAGGCCACAGAUCUUGUACUCAAAGCCAGUCACAUUGGAAUUCUUCAAGCUACACAGAUGACACAGGAAGUUACAAUAAGAGAUUUAGAAUCAGAAAAAUCUAGAUUAAAAGAGAAACUAUCUCAGAUGGAAGAGGAAAGAAAUCUAUUGCAGAGCAAAACACAAAGUCUGGAUGAAAGACAAAGGCAGCAGAUUCUGGCAAUGGAAAAGAAGGUAAAUGAAGCAAGGGAAACACAACGAGAGUAUUAUGAGAAAGAGCUGAUAAAGCUGCAAACCAGAUUGGAAGGGGAAGCUGCACUUUUAAAUGAGGCUCAUUCUAAGACCUUGGAAGAAUUAGCAUGGAAACAUCAUACUGCGAUUGAGGCUGCACACAGCAAUGCUACCAAGGAAAAGAAAAAGCUGCAACUGGAGUUGGAGCAGCAAUUUGAAAAGGAGAAACUACAUCUGGAAGGGGAUAAGAAUCAGCUUAGACAGCAGUUGGAAAAUAUGAGGGAAGAACUGACAACAAAGCUGACUUCGGCCAAUCAGGAGGUGUGUCGUCUACAAGACCUAGUAAGAAAAAGUGAACAGGGCCUUGGUACUGCAGAAGGACACAUCUCCAAUCUUCAGGAAACCCAGGAAAUACUCCAAAAAGAACUAGAGUUAACCAGAGCAAGGCUGAGAGAGACCACGGAUUCAUUGUAUAAUGUUGAGGGGGAACUAGAACAGGAGAGACAGCAGCAUGAAGCAAAGAUUUCUGCCAUGAGGGAAGAGGAGAAGAUGAAAGUUGACAGAAUGGCUCGUGACCUAGAAAUAAAAUGGACAGAAAAUCUUCGACAGGAAUGUAGUAAACUUCGUGAAGAGUUGAGGCUUCAGCAUGAAGAGGAUAAAAAGGCAGCCAUGACUCAGCUCUUGCAACUGAAAGAACGUGAAAAAAAUGCUGCCAGGGAUGGAUGGCAAAAAAAAGUGGAAGAUCUUUUAGACCAGAUCUCCUUGCUGAAACAGAAUCUGGAGAUGCAGCUUUCCCAGUCUCAGAGCUCCUUGCAACAGCUACAGGCGCAGUUUAGUCAGGAGCGACAAAGGCUUACCCAGGAGCUCGAGGAACUGGAAGAAGAGCAUCAGCAAAGGCAUGAAUCCCUGAAGGAAGCACAUAUACUUGCAUUUCAAAACAUGGAACAAACAAAAGAACAAGAACAAAAGGAACUAGAAGAGCAUUUACAACAAAAACAUUUAGAAGAACUUCAGACACUGAAAGAAGCACACAAACAAGCUAUGGAAAGUUUCAGAUUGGAAAUGGAACAGGAACUUCAGACUCUUCGAUUUGAGCUGGAAGAUGAAGGGAAAGCUAUGCUAGCUUCUUUGCGCUCAGAGCUAAAUCAUCAACAUGCAGCAGCAAUUGACCAACUAAAGCACAACCAUCAACAAGAAUUGGUAGCUGCUAAAAUGGAACUUGAAAGAAGUAUAGAACUCAGUAGACGAAAGGAGAAGGAAUUUUUGUGCCGAGUAUCAGAUCUGCAGGAUGAACUCAAGCAUUGUGACCAUCAUAUAUCUGAAUUGGACAAGGAGAUUCUGACUCUGCAUGAGAAUAUAAGUGCCCUAACCAAGGAACUGGAGUUUAAGGGGAAAGAGGUUCUCAGAAUACGCAGUGAAUCCAACCAACAGAUUAGGAUACAUGAGCAAGAUUUAAGCAAGAAACAUGAGAAAGAGCUGGAUGUCAUGACAGCAGACCACAUCAGAGAGAAACAAAGCAUACUCGCAGAUUUUAAUAAGACCCAAGAGCUACUCAAGGAAAUUAAUUCAGCUUUACAAGUUUCUUUAGAAGAAAUGGAAGAGAAAUACCAAAACAGAGAAUCAAGACCAGAAGAUUUACAGCUUAUCUCAGAGUUGAAAGACCUGAUUGCAGAGAGGGACCAACUCAUAAAGAAACUGAUCGAUGACAAAAAAUUCUAUCAACUAGAACUAGUCAACAGAGAGACUAACUUCAACAAAGUGUUUAAUGCAAGCCCUAAUGUCGGAGUUAUUAAUCCACUGGUGAAGCAAAAGAAGAAGAAUGAUAAAUCAACAAACAGGUUUGUGAGUGUCCCCAAUCUAAGUGCUCUGGAAUCUAGCGGAGUGGGCAAUGGACAUCCUAACCGCCUGGAUCCCAUUCCUAAUUCACCCAUCCAUGAUAUUGAGUUCAACAGCAGCAAACCACUUCCACAGCCAAUACCACCCAAAGAGCCCAAGACGUUUUUGAGACGUCAGUAACAUGCAUGUGCAUGAAUUCAUGGAUUGUGAUGCUGGAGUUUCCAUUGCAAAUUGUUUCGUGCCUUGUAUUACCCCAGUAAAACGCCCUCCUCAGACUGAAGCUUCACCAGAUCCACAGCGCCAGGAAUGGUUUGCCCGAUACUUCACAUUCUGAGAGAGAAAUUUUUUUUGUGGCAUAGCGUGGUGUGGAUUGUUUAUAAGAGCAUGUCUUUAAGUAAAUCCUAUGUGAACAAGCUUUCCUGUACUAUGUCAAACACUGUGAAUGAGAAAGUAUUUGUCUCUCUGAGUUGAAAAUGCACUGUAUUUCAUGUGGUAUUUGUUGGAAUCACUUGACAUGAUACUAUAUAAUGUGCGUAAUUAUAUCAAUUAUUUUUAUUUAAAAUGGAAGAGUCUUUAAACUUUGUAAUUAUUACAUAAUAAAUUUUGGUAGAACAAACAUAAGGCUUUCCCCAUUUUUCCUAUAAAUAUAUGUUUUCUUUGGUUGCAGGAAGGCUCCCCCUCCUCCCAAAGCAAUGUACUGCAUGGUUAUAAUAAAUCAAAAUAAUCUUUCAAUGAUAAAUAAAAUAAAAUAAAAAAUAUCAGACUAGGGCACAGUAUGUUUAAUUCAUCCCAAAUUUAUUUUUAUUUGUAGCACUUUAAAAAUUGUCCUCUGACUAACAUUUAAAGUGGUGAAUACGAAAUAAAUCAGACAUAGUUUAGCUGCUAGCCUUCAGAACUGAGUGACUUUGACAAGACCAUAAAAAAAAAAUUCAGCGUUUUCUUUUUUGCUCACUUCUUACUUACUGCUCAUUAGACUCUGCGCUCUAGAAAUAACCACUACAUUUGAUGUUGAGUUUCACCAGAACCUGCCUUCAUGAAUUACCUGUUUAUUUUUUGAAUAUCUACAAAGACAAAUGAUCUUUGGAACAUUUGGGAUACUAAACCAAGUAUCACUGGAUAAACCAAGAAUCAUUAAAGGAAAUCUGCAUUUUGAGGACAUCCUCCUUCAGGCAGAAUAUAGGCUUUAAAAGUAACCCUAUACACACAAUCGUAUGCACAUCUUUUAUUAAAGCUCAACUGUAUUCAAUUGUCUACAUGAAGGAAGUUUCUUUUUUACCUUUUGACAUGAAUCCAUGAACUACUUGGCUUUUUCAGGUAGUAAGCCUGAUUCUCUAGUCUGUUACACUGGUGCGACACCAGUGUUACUUCAUUGCCAGACAACUGCUAUAACAGAUUGGAGAAUCAGGCCUACUGUCUUUAUUAUUUAUAUUUUUUGAUAAUUCAAAGAUUACCACAAAGUAAUUAACGCUGGUAGUCUCAGGGAGAAAAAUAUCUUUGUUUUAUGAAUGUAUUUUAAAUCUGAAACUCUCUUUAAAAACAGCAAAGGACUAUUUUGAUUUAUUAUUUAAAUAAGGUUUUAAUCAGAAAAUACAAAAGCACAUAGAUCUUCAUUAUUUCUUCUGAAGCCCUGACUAUAUCCUGUUUCCCUUUAUAUACAAACAAAUAUCUAGUAAAAGAUACUCUCACUAGUUAUAAUAAUAAGUUUUAUAUGUAGUAUAUAUAUAAAUGAACAAUUUGUAUGUUUUCAUAUAAAAUAUUCUAAAUGAAAUUUUUGAACACGUAUCUUCUAUAACUCACCUUGAAAAUGUCACUGAAAGCCGUGCUCUGGUGAUGCUGCCAUAGUGUAAAGUAAACAGCAGAUUCUGUGUAGUUGGUGGACUCAACUGUAGGUAUAUGCAACUUUUUAAUUUUAAAAGAAAGCCAUACUGGGCCAAAAUGUUGGAUUUCUUGGCUGUUACCUGAAAUAAAACACACUCUAUCAUUUUGCUAUAACAUUCUGAAGUGAGUGUUGUAUUUUUUCUUCUCUGCCUUGCCAGUGUUGUUAAAAGGACACUGCUUCUUUGCCGACCCAGUACCUCAUUGAUUAGAGCGUUAAGUUGCAU